GACGAACGCUGGCGGCGUGCUUAACACAUGCAAGUCGAGCGGGGACAUGAAGCGGAAGGCUUCGGCUGGAAGGUUUAUGUUCUAGCGGCGGACGGGUGAGUAACGCGUGAACAAUCUGUCCCAUACAGGGGGAUAACACUUGGAAACAGGUGCUAAUACCGCAUAAGACCACGAGAUCACAUGAUCCUGGGGUCAAAGGAGCAAUCCGGUAUGGGGUGAGUUCGCGUCCGAUUAGCUAGUUGGCGAGGUAACGGCCCACCAAGGCGACGAUCGGUAGCCGACCUGAGAGGGUGAUCGGCCACAUUGGAACUGAGAAACGGUCCAG
rnacentral:rRNA from 1 species